rnacentral:rRNA from 1 species
UACGAAGGGGGCUAGCGUUGCUCGGAAUCACUGGGCGUAAAGGGUGCGUAGGCGGGUCUUUAAGUCAGGGGUGAAAUCCUGGAGCUCAACUCCAGAACUGCCUUUGAUACUGAGGAUCUUGAGUUCGGGAGAGGUGAGUGGAACUGCGAGUGUAGAGGUGAAAUUCGUAGAUAUCGUCAAGAACACCAGUGGCGAAGGCGGCUCACUGGCCCGAUACUGACGCUGAGGCACGAAAGCGAUGGGGAGCAAACAGGG